AGAGUUUGAUCCUGGCUCAGAACGAACGCUGGCGGCGUGCCUAACACAUGCAAGUCGAACGGGAUUAGGGGCUUGCUCCUAAUCUAGUGGCGCACGGGUGAGUAACGCGUAGAUAAUCUGCCUGACGAUCUGGGAUAACACUUCGAAAGAGGUGCUAAUACCGGAUAAGCCCACGGAGUCUUUGGAUUUUGCGGGAAAAG
rnacentral:rRNA from 1 species